rnacentral:rRNA from 1 species
AUUGAACGCUGGCGGCAUGCCUAACACAUGCAAGUCGAACGGCAGCACAGCAGUAGCAAUACUGUGGGUGGCGAGUGGCGGACGGGUGAGGAAUACGUCGGAAUCUGCCCAGUCGUGGGGGAUAACUAGCCGAAAGGUUAGCUAAUACCGCAUACGACCGAGAGGUGAAAGCGGGGGACCGCAAGGCCUCGCGCGAUUGGAUGAGCCGACGUCGGAUUAGCUAGUUGGCGGGUAAAGGCCCACCAAGGCGACGAUCCGUAGCUGGUCUGAGAGGAUGAUCAGCCACACUGGAACUGAGACACGGUCCAGACUCCUACGGGAGGCAGCAGUGGGGAAUAUUGGACAAUGGGCGCAAGCCUGAUCCAGCAAUGCCGCGUGUGUGAAGAAGGCCUCGG